CGUGGGGAGCAACAGGAUUAGAUACCCUGGUAGUCACGCUGUAAACGAUGUCGAUUUGGAGUGUUCCUUGGAGUGGCUUCCGGAGCUAACGCGUUAAAUCGACCGCCUGGGGAGUACGGCCGCAAGGUUAAAACUCAAAUGAAUUGACGGGGGCCCGCACAAGCGGUGGAGCAUGUGGUUUAAUUCGAUGCAACGCGAAGAACCUUACCUACUCUUGACAUCCAGAGAAUUUAGCAGAGAUGCUUUAGUGCCUUCGGGAACUCUGAGACAGGUGCUGCAUGGCUGUCGUCAGCUCGUGUUGUGAAAUGUUGGGUUAAGUCCCGCAACGAGCGCAACCCUUAUCCUUUGUUGCCAGCACAUUAUGGUGGGAACUCAAAGGAGACUGCCGGUGAUAAACCGGAGGAAGGUGGGGAUGACGUCAAGUCAUCAUGGCCCUUACGAGUAGGGCUACACACGUGCUACAAUGGCGUAUACAAAGAGAAGCGACCUCGCGAGAGCAAGCGGAACUCAUAAAGUACGUCGUAGUCCGGAUUGGAGUCUGCAACUCGACUCCAUGAAGUCGGAAUCGCUAGUAAUCGUAGAUCAGAAUGCUACGGUGAAUACGUUCCCGGGCCUUGUACACACCGCCCGUCACACCAUGGGAGUGGGUUGCAAAAGAAGUAGGUAGCUUAACCUUCGGGAGGGCGCUUACCACUUUGUGAUUCAUGACUGGGGUGAAGUCGUAACAAGGUAACCA
rnacentral:rRNA from 1 species